UACGUAGGGGGCAAGCGUUGUCCGGAAUGACUGGGCGUAAAGGGUGUGUAGGCGGCUUUCUAAGUUAGGAGUGAAAUCCCCGGGCUUAACCCGGGUGCUGCUUUUAAAACUGGAGGGCUUGAGUGCAGGAGAGGUAAAUGGAAUUCCUAGUGUAGCGGUGGAAUGCGUAGAUAUUAGGAGGAACACCAGAGGCGAAGGCGAUUUACUGGACUGUAACUGACGCUGAAACACGAAAGUGUGGGGAGCAAACAGG
rnacentral:rRNA from 1 species